rnacentral:tRNA from 1 species
GGUGAUAUAGCCAAACGGUAAGGCAAGGGAUUGCAAAUUCCUCAUCUCUCGGUUCGAGUCCGAGUUUCACCU